UACGUAGGGUGCGAGCGUUGUCCGGAAUUAUUGGGCGUAAAGAGCUCGUAGGCGGUCUGUCGCGUCGGCUGUGAAAACACGGGGCUCAACUCCGUGCCUGCAGUCGAUACGGGCAGACUAGAGUUCGGUAGGGGAGACUGGAAUUCCUGGUGUAGCGGUGAAAUGCGCAGAUAUCAGGAGGAACACCAAUGGCGAAGGCAGCUCGCUGGGACGGUACUGACGCUGAGGCGCGAAAGCGUGGGGAGCGAACAGG
rnacentral:rRNA from 1 species